rnacentral:rRNA from 1 species
UACGGAGGAUGCGAGCGUUAUCCGGAUUUAUUGGGUUUAAAGGGUGCGCAGGCGGACCGUUAAGUCAGCGGUGAAAUUUUGCAGCUUAACUGUAACAGUGCCGUUGAUACUGCCAGGCUAGGAUUUGGUUGCUGUGGGUGGAAUGUGUGGUGUAGCGGUGAAAUGCUUAGAUAUCACACAGAAUAUCGAUUGCGAAGGCAGCUCACAAAGCCAAGAUUGACGCUGAGGCACGAAAGUGUGGGGAUCAAACAGGA